CGCACAUUGCGCCCCUUGGCACUCCAGGGGGCAUGCCUGUUCGAGCGUCAUUGCAACCCUCAAGCGUAGCUUGGUAUUGAGCCUUCGCCUCCCGGGCGGGCUCGAAAAGCAUUGGCGGCUCGGCGCGACCUUUGGGCGUAAUAGAAUAUCUUCCGCCCUGAAAGUCUCGCGCCACGCCGGCCACGCCAAAAAAUGGGCGCGAUUUCCAGACGAUUGACCUCGGAUCAGGUAGGGAUACCCGCUGAACUUAA
rnacentral:misc_RNA from 1 species